UCUUCAGGUGUCUUGGAAGUCUUCUUAGAGAGAUAUAUACCAUGACUCAUGAGUAACUAACCUCUUUUACAUCCAUCCAUAUUGAACCUCUUCAACACAAGAUCUAUGUACCUAGACUGGGACAAGCCUGGCACCCUCUUAGAUCUAUCUCUAUAGAUCUUUAUGUUAGGAAUUGAGUCUUAAAACCAAUUGUCUAAUUAUAGAUGAUUGUGCUC
rnacentral:lncRNA from 1 species